AUUGAACGCUGGCGGCAGGCCUAACACAUGCAAGUCGAACGGUAACAGGAAGAAGCUUGCUUCUUUGCUGACGAGUGGCGGACGGGUGAGUAAUGUCUGGGAAACUGCCUGAUGGAGGGGGAUAACUACUGGAAACGGUAGCUAAUACCGCAUAACGUCGCAAGACCAAAGAGGGGGACCUUCGGGCCUCUUGCCAUCGGAUGUGCCCAGAUGGGAUUAGCUAGUAGGUGGGGUAACGGCUCACCUAGGCGACGAUCCCUAGCUGGUCUGAGAGGAUGACCAGCCACACUGGAACUGAGACACGGUCCAGACUCCUACGGGAGGCAGCAGUGGGGAAUAUUGCACAAUGGGCGCAAGCCUGAUUCAGCCAUGCCGCGUGUAUGAAGAAGGCCUUCGGGUUGUAAAGUACUUUCAGCGGGGAGGAAGGGAGUAAAGUUAAUACCUUUGCUCAUUGACGUUACCCGCAGAAGAAGCACCGGCUAACUCCGUG
rnacentral:rRNA from 1 species